AUUGAACGCUGGCGGCAGGCCUAACACAUGCAAGUCGAACGGUAACAGGAAGAAGCUUGCUUCUUUGCUGACGAGUGGCGGGCGGGUGAGUAAUGUCUGGGAAACUGCCUGAUGGAGGGGGAUAACUACUGGAAACGGUAGCUAAUACCGCAUAACGUCGCAAGACCAAAGAGGGGGACCUUCGGGCCUCUUGCCAUCGGAUGUGCCCAGGUGGGAGUAGCUAGUAGGUGGGGUAACGGCUCACCUAGGCAACGACCCCUAGCGGGUCUGAGAGGAGGACCGCCCACACUGGACCUGGGACACGCUCCAGCCUCCUCCGGGGGGCACCGGUGGGGAAUAUUGCACAAUGGGCGAAAGCCUGAUGCGGCAAGGCCGCGUGUAUGAAGAGGGCCUUCGGGUUUUAAAGUACGUUCAGCGGGGAGGAAGGGAGUAAGGUUAAUACCUUCGCUCAUUGACGUUACCCGCAGAAGAAGCACCGGCUAACUCCGUG
rnacentral:rRNA from 1 species